UACGUAGGGCGCAAGCGUUGUCCGGAAUUAUUGGGCGUAAAGAGCUCGUAGGCGGCCUGUUGCGUCCGCUGUGAAAUCCCGGGGCUCAACCCCGGGCGUGCAGUGGAUACGGGCUGGCUGGAGGCAGGCAGGGGAGAACGGAAUUCCUGGUGUAGCGGUGAAAUGCGCAGAUAUCAGGAGGAACACCGGUGGUGUAAACGGCUUUCUGGACCAUAACUGACGCUGAGGCACGAAAGCGUGGGGAGCAAACAGG
rnacentral:rRNA from 1 species